rnacentral:rRNA from 1 species
CGGGGUGCACCAGGCGCGAAAACUUUACAAUGCCGGCAACGGCGAUAAGGGAACCUCGAGUGCCAGGUUACAAAUCUGGCUGUCGUGAUGCCUAAAAAGCAUUGCAUAGCAAGGGCCGGGCAAGACCGGUGCCAGCCGCCGCGGUAACACCGGCGGCUCGAGUGGUAACCGUUAUUAUUGGGUCUAAAGGGUCUGUAGCCGGCCGGGUAAGUCUCUUGGGAAAUCUGGCAGCUUAACUGUCAGGCUUUCAGGAGAUACUGCCUGGCUCGAGGCCGGGAGAGGUGAGAGGUACUUCAGGGGUAGGGGUGAAAUCUUGUAAUCCUUGAAGGACCACCAGUGGCGAAGGCGUCUCACCAGAACGGACCUGCCGGCAAGGGACGAAAGCUAGGGGCACGAACCGGAUUAGAUACCCGGGUAGUCCUAGCCGUAAACGAUACUCGCUAGGUGUCGGCCACGGUGCGACCGUGGUCGGUGCCGUAGGGAAGCCGUGAAGCGAGCCACCUGGGAAGUACGGCCGCAAGGCUGAAACUUAAAGGAAUG